CUUGUCCUCCUUUGUAAGUCACUUUGGAUAAAAGCGUCUGCUAAAUGACUAAAU
rfam:Danio rerio chromosome 11, GRCz11 reference primary assembly.